UGACCCACCUAGGUCAGCCACAACAUUGUGCUGCCUUAAAACCUUGUGCAUAAGGGUUAAUGUGUCAGUGUUUUCCUGGCAUUCUCUUCCCUGUGUAAAAGCAGAGAGAGAAACCUGUUCUGGAAUGCUGCUGGAGCCCAUUCUGCUUCUGCUUUAAUCUGUUUAUCUAGCACACAGUCGACCUUUCCUCUGUUCACGCACAGUCUCCUCGCAGCUCUGAGAAGGGAAGCAUCGAAAUCGCCACACAAAGAACUCGACACAUAAAACUCAGAUACAUCCGCAUCAUGUAUGCAUACACUCAAGGGGUGGCUCAACCCAGGGUCAUAGUCCAUCAACCGGCCCAGCCUACAAUAAUCCAAUCUUCAGGCUCACCAGCAUUAAUCCAGGCUCCAAAGCCAGCAGUGGUAAUUCAGGGUGGGGCUUCUCCUGUUGUGUACCAACAAGCUGCUCAACCAGCCGUUGUGAUGCAGUCCGCAGUUCAACCCGCUGUUCAUGUAGUCCAGCCCCAGGUUAUGCCAAGAGUGAUCCAGGCUGUGGCUCAGCCAGGGGUCACAGUCUACCAACAGCCAGCAAAUGGAGUGGUGUAUCAGCGUUAUUACUGAUUUCAUCCUCCAAGAGAACCUGGAGAACCCAGAGAACCUGGAGAACCCAGAGGACCCGGAGAACCCAGAGGACCUGGAGAACUCCUGUCUGAUAUGACGAUGUCUACAAAUAUGGUGUUUGAUAAGAUAUAUUGAGUUUCAAAAUAAUCAGUGAGGAAAUGUGUAUUCUCUAUAAAAACUAAUCUCUAGGAAAGGUUUUAAUUAAAUUUUGAGGUCUUGAUAACUUUGGGUGUCUAUUAAUAAACUAUUAAACCAGUAGAGCAAUUACUAGAACACAGUUUCACUUUUCUACUUUUUGUAAUGUAUAGAAGAUAGAACAUGUUUAGAUGUGCUGAAAUGAAUGUUUUUCAAUCCUGCAGUGAUACCAAACUUAAAAAGCAGUUUGUUUCCCCAAAAUUGAUUUCUUAUUUUUGUGGCACCCAAUUUAUUAGCGUGAUCUCAAUCAGUUAUAAAGUUAUUAGCGCACAAAUUAAUGAAAGAGUUUGAUCAUGUUACUUUGACUGACAGUAGACUCUCAAAGAGAAGCGUGUAAGUGUGGAACAGCACUUGAUGAGCUGAAAUGUUUGUGAGAUUUGGGUUGAUGGAAAAAUGAUCCUUUAGUUCAUCUGAGCUGUUAUUUUGCUAUAUUUUAACCCUCCUGUUAUGUUCUGCAUCAAACUGACCCAUUUCAAAGUUUAAAAAUACAGGAAAAUAAGCUUAAUAAUGUUUGGAAGAUGAAACCCUUUCAAAGUCUAAAUAAGAAUAAACAGAACAAAUGUGUUGAAUGCCUACGCUCUUAAAAAGAUGGUUCUUCAAGGGUUCUUUAGUAAUGGAAAUGGUUCUAUUUGGAACAAUGAACAAUCAAAGAACGCUUUGCUUGAUUAA